CCCCCUCCCCGUGGCGCGUGGGCGGGAAGCUUCUCGCUCGCCGCCGCCGCCGCCGUCACCGCCGCCGCCCACGAGUCCCCCUCGGCAGAGACACGCGCGGACAGUGCCUGCGGCUUCGUGAUAGCCCGAGGACGAGGCGGAAGAAGAAGAGGAGGAGGACGAGGUGGAGGAGGUGGUGGUGGGUGGGGGCCCGUGUGUGCACCCGGCCGCCAAUGUCAAGUGUGGCUGGCUGCUGUUGGACAUCAUCAUAGGGCUGCCUUUAACAUAACUCCUGAUGAAAAUACACCAAGACAUGGAGAGAUUAUACAAGGAGCAGUGAAUGGAGUCGGAGGAAGGCAAUCGCAAGUCUUCGAUGACAGACUUCCCAGAGGGAGAGUAUCCACCGCUCAAGAAGCCCAGCAUUGGUAUUGCUGUUUUGUCAUUGCCAAUUAGAAAGCUGCUGCCCAGCCUGAAGCUGAAGCUGCCGCAGGAACUGGUGCUGGUCAUUGGCACAGGUAUCAGUGCAGCUGUGGCACCGCGUGUACCUGCCCUGCAGUCCUGGAAAGGCCUUAUCCAGGCCUUGCUCGACGCUGCCUCAGACUUCGACCUUCUCGAGGAGGAGGAGAGCCGCCGCUUCAUGCGAUGCUUGCGCCAGGACAAGAACCUUGUACAUGUCGCGCACGACCUCAUACAGAAGCUGUCUCCUCGAACAGGAAAUGUUCGCUCCACCUUCUUCAAGGACUGCCUCUACGAGGUGUUUGAGGGCCUCGAGAGCAAAAUGGAGGAGGUAGGCAAGCGUCUGCUGCAGUCCGUGCUGCGGCUCAUGGAGGACGGUGCCUUGGCCCUCACCACCAACUUCGACAACCUCCUGGAGAUCUACGGCACACAGCGCGGCAAGACCCUCGAGUCUCUCGACCUCAGUGAUGAAAAGAAGGUGUUGGAGUGGGCACAGGGCAAGCAUCCACUGAGUGUCCUGCAUGUGCACGGCGUUUAUACCAACCCCAGCGGCAUUGUGCUGCACCCCGCCGGCUACCAGAAUGUGCUCCGCAACAUUGACGUCAUGCGUGAGAUCCAGCACCUGUACGAGAGCCGGUCGUUCGUGUUCCUGGGCUGUGGUCGAACAGUCGAUGACACCACUUUCCAGGCGCUCUUUCUCGAGGCUGUCAAACAUCGCUCUGACCUUGAGCACUUCAUGCUGGUGCGUCGGGAAGACCCAGAAAGUUUCAAGAAGCUGCGCGAGAACAUGCUGGACAAGGGCAUCAAGGUCAUCUCAUACGGAGACGAGUAUGAACACCUGCCAGAGUACUUCCAGCGCCUCGCCACUGAGAUUUGCCAGCGGGGAAGUGCAGUAUCGAAGGUGACAGAGAGGUAUUAUAUUACCACUGAAUAGGAGAAUAGGAUCACAGAUAUGUCCGCUAAGCUUGACAAUGGAAAUGUGGAGCUCUCCAGGUCCCAGCCUUGUUGCUACACAGAAUUCAAAACGGAGGUGAAAAGGGAAGAUUGUGUGAGCAGCGAUCAGCAGUGAUGAGUCAAGAUCUGCUGUGGAUAAAGAAUCCAAUGCCUCGUAGCGGCAGGCUGCUUUUAGCACAUGACCAAGAGGCACGUGGGAGGGGGGGGUUAUGAUGACUAACAAAGUGGUCACGGGAUAAACUCUUGUUGUCAGCAGCUCUUUCUCCUAUGUCAGCGGUUGUCCUGCUGUAUCGGUACCACCUGAUAAAGGUCGCUUGUGUCGCGAUCGAAACGUCGUGAUUUAUUUUAUUUCUAACUACGUGACUUUACAGAGAGAACCAAAGAGUAUGGUCACGGGAUAUGGGCUGGGAAGACAGGUGGGUUAUAAGCAUGGACUGAUUAUUACAGGUGUUGAGGAUUGAGACAGAGGUGCAGGAGGAGGGAGAGGCAGGAACAAGUUUUAAGGGGUCAAGCUGUGAACUGAAAUAAAGCCGUGUGAUGGAAUCGAGUUGAUGAAAGACUUUAGCAUGAGAACAGGGUGCCUGCCGUCAGCUCCGAUUAAUGUGAAGCCACCACACCGAGACUGCCCCCAGUUCACUGCUGAUGUGUGGGGCUGCAUGCACGACUUUGUACCAGCUACACUGUCAUACAAUACUUCGGAAAAGCCUGGCAAAGCAAGAACGAUAUACGUACAUUUGCUCAUAAUUUUUUUUUCAAAAAAUGUUAACGUCUACAAGCAGGAAUGCUUUUAUGUUAAGGUGAUGUAUAAUGCGGCGAGUGUAGACUACAACUUGUAUAAUUUGCUUAAAUGCUCAGGUUCAUGGUUGUGGCCUCGAACUCAAAUGCAGAGUAUACCUUCAAAUGCUAAAGUAGCUCAAAGUUUGACGAGGGGAUUUUUACUGAAUAAGCGUAUGCUAAAAUAUGAAUUUGUAAUGGAAAAAAACAGGGUCAUGCUUUUAAACGUGUUAAUCCUGCAAAAGACGAGCCAAGGCUCAACAUGCUUCACAUUUAAAGGAUUUAAAAAUGAUCACUUGUGGUUGAGUCUUCUGCUGUCAAAUCAUCCAUCAACCAAUAUUUUACAACACUUAGAGCCACACAAAAAGUUUUUAUGGCUUUGUGAUAAACUAAAUUUUUUAAAGUUCCCUUGGUAUACUUAUUUGUUGUGUUUGAUAGGGCUAAUACUUGACAUUGUAUAUAUCAAUUUAUUAGGACCCAAAGGGACUGGUUUGUAUUUAAUGGCUACAUUUUCUAAAGUAUUUUCUGUUUGUAUGUGCUGUUCGCAUGUGUAAGUUUGUGCCAACCGUGACGCCUGCUUCAUAAACGCAUUUUCUGCAGACAGACUGAACAACAACUCAGCCUCUUGUCAAUUCAAAUACUCAUUUCAAACAGUUGCUGCAUUGUAGUUUUACAUGCUGUAAGAAUUGACGGUACAAUUGUCAUCUGGAAAAUUGUCACUAUAUUUCCAGUUUUGUGAAUUGUUUAACAUUUGUUUAAAUUGUUUAAAUUCAAGGCAAACCGUUGCAUUUGUUUUAGUGAACACGUUCACAUUUGUUGACAUGAAACCAAUUAUACACUGAGGACUUCAAAAAUAAUAUAAAGGGAUUUUUAAAACAAAUUUAGACGUUUAUAAAAAAAAUAAGUGAAAAUUCUGUGAACUUGCAUUGUAGUCUACAAAUAUUUUUUUCAUGAUAUAUUAAUACAGUAUAUGAUGACAAAAAAAUGUUUUAAUAUUUAAGCAGGAAUUGUUUUGAUCAGCGUUUGAGCUUUGUUGCAACCACUUUCAUUUCCCUGCGUAGACUGCAAAGUAACUUGCAAUUGUGUUUUCGCAGAUACCCUUAGUGAUUUGCAUUUUCUGUAUAGACUGACAAAAUUAUGUACAUUAAUAAAGAACCGUUAACAAAUUGGCCAAACAGAAUAUUUCAAUAUGAUAAACGUUACAACGUUACUAACUUUGUUUACAUUAGAUCCUUUGUAAUGUAAUUAGUCUUGACUACCUCAGUGUAGAUAUGGUUUUGCAGAAUGAGAUCACAAAUGAAAGUAAUUCUUAACAGUGUAUAACUAGAUUGAGUAAAUGUUUUCUAGCCAGUUAAAGUGUGCAACAUUUUCCGAAUAAAGUAUUUUUUAGAAAUAUUUGCAAGUACGUGCUCAUUGAUGUGUGCAAUAUGUGAAUACACAUCAAGGAAUUGCUUUUUCAA